rnacentral:lncRNA from 1 species
UCAUUAGAAAGGAAACUUUUACCAGUUUCCACAUUCAGCUAUGACCCUGACUUUAGGUCGAAGCGACGGAAGCAAUGCCAGAAACUGCAGUUCAGCCUUGGACAGAACCUGCGCCAGAAACUAUUCAGGUUCCAACUAAUUAAUAAAUAUUUGGCCUGCAUGAUUUAUACUGAAAGAACUGACCUUAGCUUCAAUUAUCCAGACUACAAGUCCUUUGGCAUCUGGGGGCAAAGCAGCGAGUCUAUAAUCAACUUCCGGUGGAAAGUACCACCUAGCUAUGGGCUGCUUCCCUAGAUGCGCCUGUAAAAGCAAGAGCUCUAUCAGAAGAUUGC